UGCUUAACACAUGCAAGUCGAACGAGGUCUUCGGAACCUAGUGGCGGACGGGUGAGUAACACGUGAGAAUCUGGCUUCAGGACGGGGACAACAAGGGGAAACCCUUGCUAAUACCGGAUAGGCCGAAAGGUGAAAGAUUCUCUGCAGGAUGAGGGUUCGCGACUGGAUUAGGCUAGUGGAGGGUAAAGUACACUUCGAAGCACCGAUUCAUAUGCUGUUCGAGAGGGAUGGAUCAGCCAUCACUGGAACUGAGAACCGGGCCAAGACUUCUACGGGAGGCAGCAAGGGGAUUUUCUGCAUUGGGCGGCAGGCUGAACGGAGCAUUUCUGCGUGCGGGAGGAAGGCCCUUGGGUCGUAAACCGCUUUUUGGUUAGGGAAGGAAAAUUUGACGGUACCUAACGAAUAAGCCUCGGCUUACUCCGUGCCAGCAGCCGCGGUAAGACGGAGGAGGCAAGCGUUAUCCCGGAAUUAUUGGGCGUAAAGCGUCCGCAGGUGGCAUCUCAAGUCUGCUGUCAAAGCCCAGGGCUCAACUCUGGAUCGGCAGUGGAAACUGAGACGCUAGAGUACGGUAGGGGCAGAGGGAAUUCCCAGUGUAGCGGUGAAAUGCGUAGAUAUUGGGAAGAACACCAGUAGCGAAAGCGCUCUGCUGGGCCGUAACUGACACUCAUGGACGAAAGCUAGGGGAGCGAAAGGGAUUAGAUACCCCUGUAGUCCUAGCCGUAAACGAUGGACACUAGGUGUUGCGCGUAUCGACCCGUGCAGUGCCGUAGCCAACGCGUUAAGUGUCCCGCCUGGGGAGUACGCUCGCAAGAGUGAAACUCAAAGGAAUUGAC
rnacentral:rRNA from 1 species